CUCGGCCUGUCGUUGGAAGUGCGGGCACACUCUCACCCCCCGAAACUGGAUAGCACACGCAUGCAUCCAGUACGCGCAAACACAAAGCAGAAACGAAAUCUAGCAAAACGCAAAACAUGAAAAGAAUGCAGUCGUCAAGGCAGUAUCCAUGCCGCACUCAGACGCUGCUGCACAUUCUGCGGCUGCAAUGCCGGGAAUGGAGACGCUCACGCGCCCUCAAUAUCGUGGGGGCGCCAACGCUAAGCAGCAUCUUCUGUGGGCGACGUGCUGCGCAUGGCGGUGGCGUGAUGCAGCGCUCGGCGGUGCUACGUGCCGCGAUUUGCGAGGCUGGUUCUUCAUCACCCCCAACGGCCAACUCGCAUAUCGCCGAAAGCAGUCGUUGUGCACUGGUGCGCCUCUCUCAAGUCGAUACGUUCUCCCAGUCGCGAAUAAAAAACUACAUCCAGCGCGUCUCGCGGCCAUUGGAAGGGUGCACGUCGAUGCUCUUUGGCAGCGGUGGCAGCGGCAGAAGCUUCGGCGUCGAGACCAAUCCGCGACUGCUGAAUGCUGUCGAGAGAGCCGAAUACGCGGAUCAUAUCGGACCCGCGCUCGUGAGAAACGUGUGGAUCUCUUCCUUUGACAUUCCCGUGGACGUCCUCGUGGACGCGAAGAUCUCGCGCCAAGCGAUUACGGUCACAGGUCUCGCGAUGGAAGCGAAGCUGGCAGUACUGGCGGCGUGCAUGCACGCAGAGCGGUGCCUCGACGCAUUAAACAUCCCUCUCUUCACGUCGGAGCAGCGUCAGCAUCAGCGCGUGCUACAAGCCCAGGCGGAAGGUCGCACAGCCCCUGAGGUCACAGCCGAGCCGCUGGAGCUGUCGUCAGUGCACCUGCCUCUCGGCGUCUUCCUGCCCGCUGCCACCUCUGCUGAGGUCAUCCAAGCAGCUGGUAAGACGCGGUCUUUUCAGCCAUUGCAGACCUCUUCGGCGCUGACGAAUCACGGGGGAGACGGCGGGGCGAGCACCACGCCCGGUGCAGCAACUCAACGCGGAAGUGCACGGCCUGGUAAGGGCCUCCUUCGCCGUUCCGCACGCCGCUGGGAUAUAGUCAAGCCUCGAUAUGGCGCCGAGUGGUUCAUUCGUGUAGCCCUUGAUGAGCUCGCCACUCUCCAGUCGACGAUCUUAACGCACAAUCGCCCGCUUUUAGACGAAGACGAUGACGAUGAACUGGGCGAAAUGGACAGCGUUGUCAUCUCUGCGAACGAGGUGCAGAUUCUGCAGCCAGAGGUGGUGCCCGGCGGCACGGGUUCCGGCGCUGCCGCUGCCGCCGCCGGAUCCGUAAGCAAUCGCGGUUAUCGAGAAGCGCAGGGCGCUCACGCGCCGUCCGUGCCGAAAGUGCUCGCGUACGAGCAGAUGCUGUUUAGCAUCCACUCCAAGUCGGCGCGCGCAAUGGUGGACGAGACGGAGGGCGGCGCCUUUGAUCUGGUGGAGGACGACUGCGAGAGUUGGUGGCACGAGAAGGAGACGCCGAGCAGUCGCUGCCUACGUGACCCGGGCGCGGUGGCGCGUGUGAGCAGGUAUCUGGAGCGCCGGACGGGGCACGACUUGGACUCCAGCAUCCAGACGCGGGCGGCAGAGGAGGACACAAACGUGUGGCAGCAACAGCCCUUAAAGGUGAGUGUGAAGCUCAAAACGUGGUACACAAUGUGGCUUGACAUUCCUGGGAUCCCGGUCCCCGCAGUAGGCAAGGCAACGACGCAAGAGGGAGCACGGGACUUGUGCGCGAUGCACGCGGAACUUCUUCUGCAGUGGUUCGGUCUUCACGUGUACGAUACCCCUCGCGAGCAGGCGAUGUACUACGACGCAUGUUUGCGCUGGGGGCGCCUCAUAGCCGCCGAACCCAUCGACCCAGCCACCGUUGAUGUGAAGACCGCGAAUUUGCCGAAGCCGCUGAAAGAGUGGUUUCGCAGCAUAAGCAAGCUCCGAGCCCGGCGUUCUGAGCGAAACGUAGUGGAGAAGUUGCUUCAUCUGAAUCGCAUGGUUGUCCACACGUUUCGCAAUCACCUUGUCGAGGUCGACAUCAUAGGCAGUCUCGAAUAUAAAGAGCUGCUUUCGCUCGCCGGCCCAUGCCUCCGCUCCUUCAUGGUGGCGGCCCAGCACCCGUACGAGAGCGCCAUCUUCUGCUACGUGUAUUGCAAGGAUAGUCAGUAUCGCUCCACCGUGUAUCUGCCCCUGCCAGAGCGGUACGGCGUGCGCGGUGGGUACUCCAUCGCGUCGACGCCCGAGUCCUCCAUUAUUUUGUGCACCCUUCACGCCGUCGAUGUGUUGUGCGCGCUGGAUGUCGUGCCCGAGGUAUGCAUGAAGCAGCCGCGGUGGCAGCGCAUGAUGGAGGUGCGCGAGUCCCUCGGUCUUAUCAUGCCAUCAUCGUAUCUGUACAAGAAGCGGCUGGAGCGCGCGUCGAGCACAGAGGCGGAGACCGCGCUGGGGCCGCCGCCGCCGCCGCCGCAUUCACGGCUGCGGUCCCCUCCCGCGUACCGCGAUGUGCCGAUGUUGUCAGCCACGAGAAUACCUCCCUACCAGGAGGUGUGGCAGAUCAUGCUAACAGACGCUGACAUAUUCGACGUGGCGCCUGACCUGCACGCACUGAAUGACGAAGCAAAGCGGCUGCACGUGCGUUCCGUGUUCGACCUUUCGCAGAUCCUGUUCGAGGAGUUCGCGCAGUACGCGUUCGGCUGGCGAAUCGGGCAGCGGCGACCGGGCGAAUACCUGUUCCACUACGCCGGGCCGCAACACUAUCGCGGAGCCGCUCGUCGAAUCGCCAACAACUUCUGGAUGGAGCUCCCGUUUGACCAGGCGGUGUACGGGCGUCGCGUCGCACUCGGUCGUUGCUUCACCCGCAAAGGCGCGGAGCGGAUGGUGUACAUUCAUGCCCUACGCAUCGCGCACGCGCUGAGGGCAACCCCAUGGGACACGCUGCCGCUGUCGAAGCUGGCGGAGGAGUUGUACAACAACAAUCUUGCGCAGGCCACAUCGCGGCACCAACAAUGGAAAUGGGUCUGCAGCACACUGCUAGAUUGCACCCGCGUCGACGGUGCCACUGAAGGGCCGUGCAACGACGGCGCUGGCAUCCGCGAAGCAGAGAUCAUGCACGAGUUCGUUCGACCGAUGGAGGCGGUGCCCGCUGCCGCUGCCACUGCCACUGGCUCCGCCUCUCCAGCCUCUGCCGACGGCAGCCAUGGUGGCCCUUCGGUCAUUGAUGUGCGUCACGUUUUGUCGCCACAUCCGGUGAUGUCACGUGACCUGGCGAUCAAAACUCUGACCUAGAUCGCCUGGUCCAGCUGCUGCUGGGACGGAGGAGAAAAACGAUGGAGACGGCGGUAAGCCAUGCGCGCACAUGCACUCAAGGACGCUUCGAUGGUCAACCACCGCCAUGUGAAGGACGCGACAGCGGUGGGCGAGAGCUCUACCGGCCAUGCGUGCGCUUCUCGACAUAUAUAUAUAUAUAUACCGGACUUGUCGGCAUCGUCUUCCGCAGAGAGUGGCGGACGGGACCGAAGAGGACUGCCUGUGUGCCGCUUGAUGGAGGGGGGAUCGGAGCACAACACACCGUCUUGAAGGCACGGUGGCCGCGGCAGCGUGGCCGAAGGAACCGCGUCUCUGGAGCGCGCGAGGCACAAGGUUGCGCCGCAGCGAACUACGUGAGAGGUGCGGACAGGAAGAUGUGAUAGCAGCUCGCUGAUCUGUGUGCCUCAUGCUGCUGUCGCUGCCGUGAGCGCGCCUACAUGUUUCCCGUUUACAGAAGCCUGACAUACAGACGACACUCGAAACAGACCAUGACGGAGACUCAGGCGUGCAGCGUCGAGAGUUAGGGGCUGUGCCACGAGGAGGGCAGAAGAUCUGGCGAGAGGCGUUGCGGUGAUUGGGAGUGGAUGAGCUUGAACAAAAUUCCAGUGUGCCCUCGCAAAAUGUGGGUUGCUUGCAUGAGCAGCCCGCCUGCGCGUGUGCCUCAAAUUCGCCGACGCGUACUCCUGCAUCCCCUUUCCCUGCCCUUCGCCAGUACAACAGGCCUUCAACUUUCACACGUUCUUUGAUCUUAUACAUCUCGGAUGUUUUUUUUUUCUCUCCACCCUCUCCGCCGCUUCGUUCGUUGGGCGGUGGGACUCGGAAGCCGUCGCCUCGUUCCUCGCAGCCCCGCCCUCCUCCGCCGCUGCUGCCCAUCUCUCCUUCCGCAGCGCAUAUGUCUCUUCACGCCUCUCUCUCCCUCUCCCUCUCCUCGCUGCUUCUGCCGCACCUCCUCGCCUUCUCUCGACUUGCAUUGCGUGCUACCUGAACGCACGCACACACAUCGACUGAGCUCCUCCCUCCCCCCUGCCCUGCCCUGCCCUGCCCUGCGACCACACACGUGCAG
rnacentral:misc_RNA from 1 species